GGCUGGUUCGCUCGGCUAGUUAGAGCGUGAUGCUAAUAACACCAAGGUCGUGGGUUAGACCCCUGUACUGGCCA